GUUGGAUUUAAAUAACAGAUCAUGGAGAACUCCUGAAUGACUGGGCUCACUGCCAGAGCAGUCCAUUUCACAGGAAGAAAGAUAUAGAUUUCUUCCCACUCACUCAUUUUAUAUGGUGAGGAUGAUUCUGUGCAUGAUGGCUGCAUUUAUUAUUUAGAGGGAGAGUGGGAUCAGCAGACUCUUGUCCUGUCAGCACUAAAAAUUACCUUUUUAGAAAUUAAUUUAAAAACCACCCCCAGAAAAGAUCUGCUAUUCUCUGACCUCAUAUCAAGAAUCUAAAAGAUUUAGUAUGCCCCUACUAAAUGUUUUUUUAAAGAAAAGAGUCUAACGCUGAAGAAAGGAAAUAAAUGAUUAAUCUCAAUACUACAGGCAAACCUCUCAAGUACCAGAGAAUUUGUCAAAACUCUAUAGCUCAUCCAAUGUGACAGGUCUGAAAUGUUACGUAGCUCAGUCCUACAGAAAAAGCUAAAGAUAGAGUGGUGUAGAGAGAGAUGGGGUGAAGGAGGGGGAGAAAGCAUUGGAAUAGCCAAGCUUUGUUUUGUCUCAAGUUUCAAGUCUUGUUUUAUCCACGCAAUUAGGCCAAGUAUAAGUCUCCAGAUUUGUUGCAGUAUUUUGCAAAAGCAGUCAGGUAACAGAAGACUGACAUCCUGCUUCCUAACAUGGCCUACUUCUGACAAACUUUCCAUCUCCUUAUGGCCAGGUCCACAAUAACUCAGAAAGUUUCCUCAAAGGAGCAAGCUUUUGAAUGCCUUUCUCCACCCCAGUGGCUGGUUCUUUGAUCUUUGGACAUCUGCCCGCCUGCUUCCCAGGAUAAGUCCCUUGGCCUUGAAGGAGAAGCAUUCAAAGUCAAACCCAACAUUUGUUCAUAUUCUUUGCUUCACAGGGUUAAAAGGAUUCUGUGAAGCUAAAAGUCAAAAGGCCAACUGAGUCAAAUUUGGUAUAAUUUGCUACUUCAAUAACCAGAACAACUGAUAUGCACCAAUUAUUACUCAACCUCAGCUGCCCCAGAGCUGCUCAGAAAUUUGUUCUGAGUCUUGCUGAGCUUAGAAUGUGGACAGCCCUUUUGAAUGAAGUCUUACCCACUGUGUGCACAGCACCCCC
ensembl:lncRNA